UACGGAAGGCAGCAGUGGGGAAUAUUGCACAAUGGGCGAAAGCCUGAUGCAGCUAUGCCGCGUGUAUGAAGAAGGCCUUAGGGUUGUAAAGUACUUUCAUCGGGGAGGAAAAACAAAACUAAUAAUUUUAUUUCUUGACGUUACCCGAAAAAGAAGCACCGGCUAACUCCGUGCCAGCAGCCGCGGUAAUACGGAGGGUGCUAGCGUUAAUCAGAAUUACUGGGCGUAAAGAGCACGUAGGUGGUUUUUUAAGUCAGAUGUGAAAUCCCUGGGCUUAACCUAGGAACUGCAUUUUGAAACUGAAAUACUAGAGUAUCGUAGAGGGAGGUAGAAUUCUAGGUGUGGCGGUGAAAUGCGUAGAUAUCUGGAGGAAUACCUGUGGCGAAAGCGGCCUCCUAAACGAAUACUGACACUGAGGUGCGAAAGCGUGGGGAGCAAACAGGGAUUAGAUACC
rnacentral:rRNA from 1 species